rnacentral:rRNA from 1 species
UACGUAGGGCGCAAGCGUUAUCCGGAAUUAUUGGGCGUAAAGAGCUCGUAGGCGGUUUGUCGUGUCUGCCGUGAAAGUCCGGGGCUUAACCCCGGAUCUGCGGUGGGUACGGGCAGACUAGAGUGCAGUAGGGGAGACUGAAAUUCCUGGUGUAGCGGUGAAAUGCGCAGAUAUCAGGAGGAACACCGAUGGCGAAGGCAGGUCUCUGGGCUGUAACUGACGCUGAGGAGCGAAAGCAUGGGGAGCGAACAGG